rnacentral:rRNA from 1 species
GACGAACGCUGGCGGCGUGCUUAACACAUGCAAGUCGAACGGAAAGGCCCUUCGGGGUACUCGAGUGGCGAACGGGUGAGUAACACGUGGGUGAUCUGCCCUGCACUUUGGGAUAAGCCUGGGAAACUGGGUCUAAUACCGAAUAGGACCACGCGCUUCAUGGUGUGUGGUGGAAAGCUUUUGCGGUGUGGGAUGGGCCCGCGGCCUAUCAGCUUGUUGGUGGGGUAAUGGCCUACCAAGGCGACGACGGGUAGCCGGCCUGAGAGGGUGACCGGCCACACUGGGACUGGGAUACGGCCCAGACUCCUACGGGAGGCAGCAGUGGGGAAUAUUGCACAAUGGGCGCAAGCCUGAUGCAGCGACGCCGCGUGAGGGAUGACGGCCUUCGGGUUGUAAACCUCUUUCAAUAGGGACGAAGCGCAAGUGACGGUACCUAUAGAAGAAGCACCGGCCAACUACGUG